UGUGGUAUUGUGGUCAGGUUGCUUGUUGAUGUAGGCCCUGGCCAGAAAGAACUGAAGAGGGAAGGAUGAGAUGGCAGGAGCCAUCUAAAUUAGGAAUCAGGGAGGUGGUGAAGGAUGGGCCUAGCUGCAGUGGGAGAGCAGAGGAUGAGAGCAGGAUGUCUAAAUGAAAAAGCAAGACUGAAGAAAACCUGAACUAUCUCCAUCAAAAUGUACUGGAGUUCUGCUUCAUGUGCUCCGUGCUGCACACCUCACCAGCUCUUGGCAGCCACUCGCCGCUGUGCUGCAGGCUCUGGGGAGAAAGGAGUUACGCGAGUUUCCAGAG